UACAGAGGUCUCAAGCGUUGUUCGGAUUCAUUGGGCGUAAAGGGUGCGUAGGUGGCGCUGUAAGUCAGGUGUGAAAUUUCGGAGCUUAACUCCGAAACUGCAUUUGAUACUGCGGUGCUUGAGGACUGGAGAGGAGACUGGAAUUUACGGUGUAGCAGUGAAAUGCGUAGAGAUCGUAAGGAAGACCAGUGGCGAAGGCGGGUCUCUGGACG
rnacentral:rRNA from 1 species